rnacentral:lncRNA from 1 species
GUCAUCAUUCAAAGCUGUAUCAAUCCAUGAGAAGAAAGCUGAGGGAAGGAGAGGGGGACGGAGGAAAAGGUACAUUGUGCGUGCAUGAUACAUGAUAGCCGCCAUCUCACAACACAUUAAUCUUCACUCGCAACAAGAGACAGGCCAACUCCUGGGGGCUUCGCCACUAUAACCCUCUCCUCCUCAUUCAUGAAGAUAAAUGCCCUCAGAGUGAUCAGCCAUCAUGUAUUCUUUAUGCAUGUGCCAGAUGGCUGUCUUGUAAGUUAGCCAGAGAGAAAUCUUCACUAAGGAGAGCAAACAGGCAGGGCUGUGAGCCGCGAGCUUCCCUCAGGUGUGACAUCCAUGCUGCCCAGACGUUCGGCAUGCCUGCUGGCAGGUCAUCCUUCCCCACACAGGGAUCCAGGGCUGAGCUGCAACGGGGGAGCCCCCUUCCCAUGGAGGUCACCAUUACUUCCCCGUGGGCCUCCAAGGCUGCAAAUGACAGGGUUUUCCUAAAUCCAUCCUAAGGAGCGUCUCACGCAAUGGUGGUGAGGAAAGAGCAAAGAGUAAAAUGGGUGUGGAGCUUUCUGGGGCUUGAGGAACAAGCUGUGACAGCACGUUGCCUGGCAUGAUCUUGUGCUUGCUUUCUCUCUUCCUUUCUUCUAGAGGUCGGAUGUUUGUGACCUCACAUCACCCAGCAAGGCACCCGGUGCCACAAAGGUCCAUGCUGGUUUUGGAAGAUGCUGAGCACCAGUUGCUUUCCCCAGCAGCAGGGUUGUUCAAAAGUGUCUUUAGGUAUUGAUCACUCUUCGCUGAGUGCAGGCCCUUUCUCCAGGCCAGACCCACCUGCCACCCGUGCAAAUGCAUGCUCAGAUGAAGAAUGCUCAGGACCUUGUGGCAUUAAGAAGACCUCAGGGCAUCCAGAAGGACCAACGGCGGGCAGGCUGAUCUACGCACAAAUGUCCUCUGUUGAACUUUUCCUCUGCUCUUGCGGUACUUUUAGCUUACAGCAUGGGCGAGCAUCAACCAGCAACAGAGAAGAGCUGUCAUCAAGGCAGAGAACAAGUGGAGCAGCCUGCUGCAGUUGUUCUGUUGAGUCUUCAGCCUCUGAAAUUAGUAACUAAAUUGGCAAGGGCGAAGGCCAAAGCUGAAGUAAUCAGGCAGUUACUGCAAGAACUAAAGAAGCCAUUGAAUGACGCCAGCCAGGCUUACUUCUUUCUUAGGAGGGAACUUGAAGCUCUCUUGCAUAUUUAGAGAUUGAGGGGACAGCUCUUGGAGGAACUUGCACAGCCCAGAUGAUUCCUCUGUGCAAAAAACUGUACACGUUUGAAUCAUGAAAUACAGUUGAAAAAAGUAUUUGGGGACUAAGAAGUCACCAGAAAUUGGACUGGCUCUGAAGCACACACGUAACUGAUCUCUGGGCAUCCUCAAGUUUUGAUGUGAGAAGAGCUGGCUCCAAAUGCUACGCAUGGCCCCACUGAUUAUUUUAUUAUUAUUAUUAUUUUUAAAUCUGAAUACUACCUCAUAUGUAGCCCACACAUCCCCAACAUAGGGAUGCUUUAAAUUCAAAAACUCAGGAGGAGCCUAUCAGAUUUUUUUAGGGCAGGUUGCCAGUUCUUUUGCCAGCACACAUACUACUACAAAUUCUUACACGCACAUACAUAGUUCAGACUUGCCCUGCGCAGUGACACCCAGCCGCAUUUAAUUCCUGUGCAUACCAUCUCCCUUUGCCAGCCUCCUCUCUGAUGAUUUUUUCCUUGUUCUCAACAAACACAAUUCUAAAUACAGUCCCUGAGUUUCCAUUAAGGAUGAGCAAAGCAGAGCUUUAAACUGUGAAGCUGUUUUAACCCAUUUACUCCCAGAUCUACAAGCUACAAGCUUCCCAGUUUCAUUCCAACAACUCAGGAAAAUUU